rnacentral:misc_RNA from 1 species
UGCCAAAACAACAUUGGUCCAAUCGGAUAUCUUCUCUGCAAUAGCUUUAGUUUGCGCUGCAACAACUUCCAUCGUUGUUCCUGCUUCUCUCUGUUCAAGGGUCUCACCAAUGCAAGCAAUUACCUUGAUACCUUGGGAAAGUGCGUACGCAAUUUUGUCAGCAACAAAAUCACUUGAUUCGCCCAUCAGCGCUCUCCGCUCAGAGUGUCCCAGAAUCACCCAAGGCACCUGCAGGUUCACCAACAUCUCGGCACUGAUCUCGCCAGUGAAGG